CCCAACCGCGUGCUGUCGGAGCAGCGCUCGGAGCAGCGGCGCCUGCUCAGCACCAUCGGCUCGGCCGCGCUGCCGGACAGCGACCUGCUCAAGAUCAACCAGCUCAAGUUCCGGAAGAAGCGGCUCUGCUUCGGCCGCAGCCACAUCCACGAGUGGGGCCUGUUCGCCAUGGAGCCGAUCGCGGCCGACGAGAUGGUGAUCGAGUAGGUGGGGCAGAACAUCCGGCAGGUGGUGGCGGACAUGCAUGAGAAGCGCUACGCCCAGGAGGGCAUCGGCAGCAGUCACCUGUUCUGCGUGGACCAUGGCACCAUCAUCGACGCCACCAAGCGCGGCAACCUGGCGCGCUUCAUCAACCACUG